AAGAAUUUAGUUAAAGUUAUAACAUUAGUUUGUCAUACUAAAAUUAUUUAAAAUUAAAGAUAUUUCUUA
rnacentral:tRNA from 1 species